rnacentral:lncRNA from 1 species
CCCACAUCGAAAAUUAGAUUAUAAUUAAAAAUUUUAAUAUUAAUAAUAAUAUUAUAAAAUUAAUAUAAUUUACAUUAACCACCAUCAUUACCCUAAUCACUUUUCCCUUCUUCUCUCUCUCUCUACCUCUGUCCUCUCUCUUCAUUCCGACAACUUCCUUCAUCGAUGGUGCCCAGCUCUUCGGGGUCUUACCUCUACCGCAAGUCCGCAGAUCUCCGACAACUUACCUCCACCGCAAAGAGAGGCAUGCCCUUCUCCCGCCUCUCUCCUCCCCAUCCUCUAUUCUCUGUGGCCACCGUCGUGAGAAGCAGCCUUUGACAGUCGCUGUGCGCGGCUCAAAGUACAUCGCUCUAUGCUGCUGACAAGAUGCGACGUUGUGCACAACCAGGAUGUGUGCCGCAGUCGUAGCCGUCGUAACAUUUGUGAGGUGAUUUCUUCGAUCUGCUGCUUUACCGAAAUUUGGGGAUUUUUUUUGUUUUUUUGGUGAUUGUUGCGGGUUUGGGUGUUUUGUUGUUGAGGUGGCGGCUGUGGUAUGGUAGUGUUGUAUGAGAUGGUGGAUUUCUAGCAGGCGACGGUGGUGGUUUGUGUGGAGGUUGAUUGGAGUCGCAGAUGGAGGUGGAGGUGGCCAGUGAUUGUUAAAGCAUGCAAUUGUGGUUGUGAAAUGUGGCAGCGAUGAAUUUGGUUAGAGUCACAGUUGGUCUCUGAGGUGGUCGUGGUGGUAUUAGCAGUGUUCGUGGUGGUUUGGUUGACUUGUGACUCACAAUUGAAUUCGUGACCUGAAAAUUGUGACUGUGACUCGUAUUGGAUACGUGACCUAAAAAUUGUGACUGUGAAUCGUAAGUGUUGGUGGUAGUCACAAAUUAUUUGGUUGACUAUGACCAUUAAAAUGGUUAAUCUGUGACCAAUGAAAAAAAUAAAUUGUGAUCGAAAAAUAAUAUGUGAUCUAAAAAAUUGUUAAUCUGUGUACGAUAAUUUUAUAAUUUGUGACUUGUAAUAUUUGUGAUUUUGACUUAUACAUUUUUUUUAUUUGUGGCCGAUGAACAAAAUGUGACCUAUAAACUUUUUGAAUUGUGA